rnacentral:rRNA from 1 species
UACGGGGGGGGCAAGCGUUGUUCGGAAUUACUGGGCGUAAAGGGCUCGUAGGUGGCCAACUAAGUCAGACGUGAAAUCCCCAGGCUCAACUUGGGAACUGCGUCUGAUACUGGAUGGCUUGAAUUCGGGAGAGGGAUGCAGAAUUCCAGGUGUAGCGGUGAAAUGCGUAGAGAUGUGGAGGAACACCAGUGGCGAAGGCGACUCUUUGGUCUGUAACUGACGCUGAGGCGCGAAAGCGUGGGGAGCAAACAGG